rnacentral:ncRNA from 16 species
AGGCGCCUGCAGCAUGACAGUUAAGGCUCUCAUGCCCGUGCGCCGGAAUCUGGUCGCGCCGCUGGGUCACAAGCCCACCGACAUGCACAUGAAGGAUACCGCCGCCGGCGUGCGGGCCGAGUCCAGUGCAGCUUCCCACCUGAUCGGUGAAAACCUUCGGAUCGGUAGCCUACAUAGCGCGACAGGCAC